CUGAAACAUCUAAGUACCUGCAGGAAGAGAAAGAAAAUUCGAUUCCCUGAGUAGCGGCGAGCGAAACGGGAAAAGCCCAAACCAGCAAGCUUGCUUGUUGGGGUUGUAGGACUCCAAUAUGGUAGUUCUUUCAGAUAGUCGAAUGACUUGGAAAAGUCAGUCAAAGAGGGUAAAAACCCCGUAGACGAAAUGUGGAAGACACCUAGGAGGAUCCUGAGUACGGCGGAACACGAGAAAUUCCGUCGGAAUCCGGGAGGACCAUCUCCCAAGGCUAAAUACUCCCUAGUGACCGAUAGUGAACCAGUACCGUGAGGGAAAGGUGAAAAGCACCCCGGAAGGGGAGUGAAAUAGAACCUGAAACCGUGUGCCUACAACAAGUCAAAGCCCGUUAAUGGGUGAUGGCGUGCCUUUUGUAGAAUGAACCGGCGAGUUACGAUUGCAUGCGAGGUUAAGUUGAAGAGACGGAGCCGCAGCGAAAGCGAGUCUGAAUAGGGCGUUUGAGUAUGUAGUCGUAGACCCGAAACCAUGUGAUCUACCCAUGUCCAGGUUGAAGGUGCGGUAAAACGCACUGGAGGACCGAACCCACGUACGUUGAAAAGUGCGGGGAUGAGGUGUGGGUAGCGGAGAAAUUCCAAACGAACUUGGAGAUAGCUGGUUCUCUCCGAAAUAGCUUUAGGGCUAGCCUCGGAAUUGAGAAUGAUGGAGGUAGAGCACUGUUUGGACUAGGGGCCCAUCUCGGGUUACCGAAUUCAGAUAAACUCCGAAUGCCAUUCAUUCAUAUCCGGGAGUCAGACUGUGAGUGAUAAGAUCCAUAGUCGAAAGGGAAACAGCCCAGACCACCAGCUAAGGUCCCAAAAUAUAUGUUAAGUGGAAAAGGAUGUGGGGUUGCACAGACAACUAGGAUGUUGGCUUAGAAGCAGCCACCAUUUAAAGAGUGCGUAAUAGC
rnacentral:rRNA from 1 species